GCAGCCAUGGACCCUCUCUCAGAGCUGCACGAUGACCUGACCCUGGAUGACACCAGCCAAGCUCUGAACCAGUUGAAGCUGGCCUCCACUGAUGAGAAGAACUGGCCUUCUGAUGAAAUGCCAGACUUCCCCAAGUCAGAUGACUCCAAAAGCAGCUCUCCAGAACCUGUGACACACCUGAAGUGGGAUGACCCUUACUACGACAUUCCGGCACCAGAUUGUGGAAGUAGCGGGUGAUGAUAAGUAUGGGCGGAAGAUCAUUGAAUUCAGUGCUUGCCGGAUGCCCCCCAGCCACCGGCUGGACCACAGCAAGCUCUUGGGGUAUUUGAAACACACACUGGACCAGUAUGUGGAGAGUGACUACACACUGCUGUACCUGCACCAUGGCCUGACCAGUGACAACAAGCCUUCCCUCAGCUGGCUAUGGGAUGCCUACCGAGAGUUUGACUGUAAGUACAAGAAGAACAUCAAGGCUCUGUACUUCAUGCACCCAACCAUGUUUUUCAAAACUCUGCUUAUCCUCUUUAAGCCUCUCAUCAGUUUCAAGUUUGGACGGAAGAUCUUCUACGUGAAUUACCUGAGUGAGUUGAGCGAGCAUGUGAAGCUGGAGCAGUUGGGGAUCCCUCGCCAAGUGCUCAAGUAUGAUGACUUCCUCAAAUCCAAACAGAAGAGACCUGCAACAGCUCCCAAGCCCAUGCUACCAUGGUACCCCCCUGUCCAAUCAGCAGUUUGGGGUCUCCUUACAGCACCUCCAGGAGAAAAGCCCAGACCAGGAGCCCAUCGUGCUCAGGGAGACUGUUGCCUACUUGCAGGCUCACGCUCUCACCACCGAGGGCAUCUUCCAGAGGUCUGCCAAUACCCAGGCUGUAUGGGAAGUGCAACAGAAAUGCAAUAUGGGGCUGCCGGUGGACUUUGACCAGUACAACGAGCUGCACCUGCCUGCUGUCAUCCUCAAGACAUUCCUUUGGUAGCUUCCUGAACCCUUGCUAACCUUUGACCUGUACCCCCAUGUUUGGGCUUCCUCGAUAUUGAUGAAAGCCAGAGAGUGGAGGUGACACAACAGGUUUUCCAAACUCUGCCAGAGGAGAACUACCAGGUGCUUCAUUUCCUGACUGCCUUCCUGGUGCAGAUAUCUGCCCGCUGUGACCAGAACAAGAUGACCAACACUAACCUGGCUGUAGUCUUCGGCCCUAACCUGCUCUGGGCUAAAGAUGCUGCCAUCACCCUCAAGACCAUCAAUAUCAUCAACACCUUCACUAAGCAUCUCCUGGAUCAUCAAGGGGGAAUUGUUCCCCAGCACAGUUGUUCCCCAGCACAGAUUCCCAGGGGGUCUGA